GCGCGUCUCCGGCCGGGCGGGGCUGUGGGGGGGGGGCGACGCAGCUGUUAGCUCCGCCUCCUCGCUGCGCCCCUAGGCUUCAGACCCCCGCACCUUGGAGCUGCAGCUCCCGCCUUUUCUUCCUCACUUAGCGGCGGAGCAAGCUUUCCAGACUCGUCAGUGGCUUUUUUGGGGGAUAAAGACACAAAUCCUCGCUGGGCCCCGAAGCCCUGGGGACCCGAGCCCUGCGGCCUCCCGGCCUCCCCCCUCCUCUUCCCCGCCCGCCCCUCCGCCCCAGCCAUCCUGGCCUUCUGCCGCACCCUACCUUGCCCCGGGCUUUGGCCCAGCCUGCGCCCCGGGCCUAGCCAGUCCUGCUCCCCGGGCCUAGCCACUCCUACCCCCCCGCUCCCCCUCCGCCUUCUCCAGCCCCAGUCUCUCCUCUGCUGCAGCUGCCCUCCCCAGCUCCGCGCACCCGGGCCAAUUCCCAGAUCAAGGCCCGGGGGAAAUUUGGCUCUCGCCGCCGCCUCCGGGGUCCACAGCCCCACCCCCCGUCAUGUGAUCAAGAACAGGCCUUGCUUCCCCGGACUCCAGUGGCUCAGCUCUGACCCCACCACUGCCCUGAGGAACCCCAGAUGCGGAGCCUUGAGUUCAAACCCAGCCCUCUAACGGACACAUCUGUGGCCGCCCUGGGAGAUCAGCCCAUUCGUGUGCUUGCAAAACAGCCCAGCCUGCUUUGGGAGAACGCUGCUGAUUUGCCAGCAUGAGCUGGGGCUGCUUGGUGGACGUUGAACCUCCCCUGCCCUCCCUGCAAGGUGCUGUCUCCUCAGGCCUGGUGUGAGGCUAAUAUGACCUCCUGGAUCCUAGCAACACUCAAACAGUGCGUGGCCCGCGGCGGGUGCUCAAUAACUAUAGGCCUUCAUUGAUAAAUACCAUUGAAUGGUUCAGGUAUAUUUUAAAAUUACGAGCAGUUUCAAACAUCCACAAAAGCAGAGAGAACUCAACAGUCUGAUGAAUCAGCUACAGCUACGUCAACCCACAAGCCUAAGGGCAACCAUUUAAUGAGUUUUUCCUCCAUCAUUUCUAACAUAAUUGAAAAUGGAUUUGUAUACCCCUAACCUUUUAAUUUUUUAAAAUUUUAUUUAUUUACUUAUGGUUGUGCUGGGUCUUCACUGCUGCACGCAGGCUUUCUCUUUGGAGGAAAUCAUAAGACUCAGUUAGAUAAAAAGUCUUCAGUGAGUGGUGAGCUAUACCAUGUCCAUAGAUUGGAAAACAACAUUAUAAAGAGGUCCGUGCUCCCCUGGUGAUAUAUGAGUUCAAUACCAUCCCAGUUAAAACCGCAAUGGGCUGUAUCACAGAACCCUGCACUGGGCUUACUC
ensembl:lncRNA